UCACUUAACUGGCAGGGGAGAUACCAUGAUCAUGAAGGUGGUUCAUCUAUGGCGAGGCUCAGCCAUUGCACUUCGGUUGUAAGGAUCUGCAAGUGAAUUCCCCAAACAACCUCUGACUGCACAAUUUGUGGUAGUGGGGAUCAGCGCCCGCGCUCCCCUGAU